rfam:Myotis davidii contig124105, whole genome shotgun sequence.
AGACCCAGAGAGAGAGGCAGGGUCUGAUCCACAGCCUUAGUGCCAGCUGUUGAUCGGUACUUGCCUCUCUCUUUCUCUCCU